UACGGGAGGCAGCAGUGGGGAAUAUUGCGCAAUGGGGGAAACCCUGUNCGCAGCAACGCCGCGUGAGUGAGGAAGUAUUUCGGUAUGUAAAGCUCUAUCAGCGGGGACGAAAAUGACGGUACCCGCAGAAGAAGUCCCGGCUAACUACGUGCCAGCAGCCGCGGUAAU
rnacentral:rRNA from 1 species